UUUGGAUAAAAGCGCCAGCUAAAUGCAUGUAACAUGCUUGAAAGUUUCAACCUCAAGAGAGCAGUGCAGCAGAAACUUGCCAUAUAGGAUUUAGUGUCAACUAGAAAUAAGACCGUCACAAUGGCAAUGACCACCACGAGCGGAGUGCGAAGCAUCCCAGAUAGCAGUUGAUCCUAUCCGCCUCCUGUCGCACUCGGUUUGGUCAUGCCACCGGAUCCGCGCACCAUCAGACAGCGUUGUAACUGCGGUGGAUGCUCCACGUUGUUGCCCUUCGACUUUUCAAACUGGUAUUUUCAAAACUGCAGCUCUUUGCGCCAGAAGUACGAGUUAGUUGUACAGAAGUGACAACACUGUUGAUCGCCAUCUCUACAAUUCAGAUAAAAUGAACAGAAAGAAUGGGCCUGUCUCCAGCUCCACCAUUAGACGGAGGGUCCGUCAAGAUGUUUUGACUACAUCACUGUGAU